UCCUGCUACCGGGCUUUACAUCAAGCUGCCGACGAGAGUUAGCGCGCCUUAAGUGGCAUUUUUUUCAUGGUUUGUCUUUCUCCGCUCUGGUUCAGCCCAACAUCGUUAUUCCACCUGCGGCCCGAUUAGCGCGGAGCACCGCGGAGCGGGCGACGGCGUUUAAACACAAAAUAAACCAGAGGAGCCUUGCGAGAUCGGACCGCUACAACCUAAAUCGCCGCAAACAAGAGAGACGACAACGUGCAUCACACCUCCAGGCUUUCACGAACGCGUCCCAAAGAUGUGGAGGGUUACACUCCUCUGGUCACACCUGUGAGGGUUGGCGGUUCG
ensembl:lncRNA